ensembl:piRNA 21ur-3302 ncRNA
UCGGACAGGCAAGAUUUUGUC